GUUCCUAUGGUGAAAUGGUAUCACAGCAGACUGUUAAUCUGUCAUUCCUGGUUCGAGUCCGGGUGGGAACG
rnacentral:tRNA from 1 species